AAUCAACGCUGGCGGCGUGCCUCAGACAUGCAAGUCGAACGCGAAAGUCCCCUUCGGGGGACGAGUAGAGUGGCGCACGGGUGAGUAACACGUAGGUAAUCUACCCUUGGAUGGGGAAUAACAAUCGGAAACGAUUGCUAAUACCGCAUAAUGCAGCGGCACCUAAUGGUGACAGUUGUUAAAGCGGGGGAGUCGAAAGACCUCGCGUCUGAAGAGGAGCCUGCGGCGGANAGUCUAGUUGGUAAGGUAACGGCUUACCAAGGCGACGAUCCGUAGCCGGCCUGAGAGGGCGGUCGGCCACACUGACACUGACAUACGGGUCAGACUCCUACGGGAGGCAGCAGUCGGGAAUUUUGGGCAAUGGGCGAAAGCCUGACCCAGCAACGCCGCGUGAAGGAUGAAAUCCCUCGGGAUGUAAACUUCGCAAGAACGGGAAGAAUUAGUAGGGAC
rnacentral:rRNA from 1 species